UGGCGGACGGGUGAGUAAUGUCUGGGAAACUGCCUGGUGGAGGGGGAUAACUACUGGAAACGGUAGCUAAUACCGCAUAACGUCGCAAGACCAAAGAGGGGGACCUUCGGGCCUCUUGCCAUCGGAUGUGCCCAGAUGGGAUUAGCUAGUAGGUGGGGUAACGGCUCACCUAGGCGACGAUCCCUAGCUGGUCUGAGAGGAUGACCAGCCACACUGGAACUGAGACACGGUCCAG
rnacentral:rRNA from 1 species